UCUAUGACAAAAGACAGAUUAACAGGAGAAAAGCAUACAAAUUAAUGAAAUAUAAGUUUUAUGUUACAUGGGAGGCUUCAUAAGGAAAUGAGGACCCAAAGAAACAGUUAGACCUGAGA